GACGAACGCUGGCGGCGUGCUUAACACAUGCAAGUCGAACGGAAAGGCCCUGCUUUUGUGGGGUGCUCGAGUGGCGAACGGGUGAGUAACACGCGAGUAACCUGCCCUUGACUUUGGGAUAACUUCAGGAAACUGGGGCUAAUACCGGAUAGGAGCUCCUGCUGCAUGGUGGGGGUUGGAAAGUUUCGGCGGUUGGGGAUGGACUCGCGGCUUAUCAGCUUGUUGGUGGGGUAGUGGCUUACCAAGGCUUUGACGGGUAGCCGGCCUGAGAGGGUGACCAGCCACAUUGGGACUGAGAUACGGCCCAGACUCCUACGGGAGGCAGCAGUGGGGAAUAUUGCACAAUGGGCGGAAGCCUGAUGCAGCAACGCCGCGUGCGGGAUGACGGCCUUCGGGUUGUAAACCGCUUUCGCCUGUGACGAAGCGUGAGUGACGGUAAUGGGUAAAGAAGCACCGGCUAACUACGUG
rnacentral:rRNA from 1 species